UCAGGACGAACGCUGGCGGCGUGCUUAACACAUGCAAGUCGAGCGGAAAGGCCACUUCGGUGGUACUCGAGCGGCGAACGGGUGAGUAACACGUGAGUAAUCUGCCCCUGGCUUUGGGAUAGCCACCGGAAACGGUGAUUAAUACCGGAUACGACCACUUCUCGCAUGGGAUGGUGGUGGAAAGUUUUUCGGCCAGGGAUGUGCUCGCGGCCUAUCAGCUUGAUGGUGAGGUAAUGGCUCACCAUGGCUUCGACGGGUAGCCGGCCUGAGAGGGUGACCGGUCACACUGGGACUGAGACACGGCCCAGACUCCUACGGGAGGCAGCAGUGGGGAAUAUUGGACAAUGGGCGGAAGCCUGAUCCAGCAACGCCGCGUGAGGGAUGACGGCCUUCGGGUUGUAAACCUCUUUCGGUGGGGACGAAGCGCAAGUGACGU
rnacentral:rRNA from 1 species